CGGCGGCCGCAGUGCAACUUCCAGAUAACGGAGUAGCCUCAGCUGGGAGUCAGUGGUGGCCGCAGCGCCCCUCAGGACACCCGAAGAUCACCUUUUCCCUCCACGACUUCUCCACGGCUGAGUGUUGUGUACCAGCAUGUCCACGGCCAAUGUGUAUCCCUCCACCCUAUGCUGACCUUGGCAAAGCUGCCAGAGACAUUUUCAACAAAGGACUUGGCUUUGGGUUGGUAAAGUUGGUCGUGGAAACGACGUCAUGCGGCGGUGUGGGGUUUUCAAAAUCUGACUCCUCUAAUGCAGACACUGGCAAAGUCAGUGGGACCCUGGAGACCAAGUACAAACGGUGUGAGUAUGGUCCGACUUUCAUCAAGAAAUGGAACACUGGACAACACUCUGGGGACAGGGAUUGCAGUUGAAGACCUGAUUUGUCAAGGUUUGAAACUGACCUUGGACACCACGUCUUCACCGAACACAGGAAAGAAAAGUGUAAAAAUCAAGUCUGCUUACAAGAGGGAAUGUACAAACCUUGGCUAUGAUGUUGAUUUUGAUUUUGCUGGACCUGCCAUCCAUGGGUCAGCUGUCUUUGGUUACGAGGGCUGGCUUGCUGGGUACCAAUUGACUUUUGACAGUGCCA
rnacentral:lncRNA from 1 species